UAUUAAAACAAAGCAAGACAAUUCCCCAUAAUAUUUAUAAUGGUUCAACUAUCUGAAGACAGCGAUGCAAAUCUGUAUCUUGACCCCUGAAAGCAUUUUGCUUCCUGACUCAUUAUGAAGAUCCAUUCCAGUCUGGAAAAGGGCGGCUGCGAUGGAACGCACUGCAUAGCAACCGAUUUAUAUCUGUGCAUAUGUAGCCCUUCCACCAUCAGCUCGUGAAAUGUGAAACCCUCUGCAUUACACUAAAAAAAGCAUUAAGGGUCUUCAAACUCAAAUGUAUAAUCAUAAGGUGAAAGAGACAUCUCAUUGUAAAGAAACUGUCUAGGGAAAAAUAUGACUCUCACUGUCUGGGAUAUAUAUUUAGAGGCUAACAGGCAUAUAUCUGGUUUUUAAACCUUACAAUUAAUGUUAACACAAAUACACAGACCAGUUUCUGAAUAAACAGGAGACAAAACCACACAAGCCCUGAAUCUCAGUUUAGAGUUUGUAUUAACAAGAUUUAAACACAAAUGCAAAAGUGGAAAAUAAAAAAUAAAAUACCUGGGGGGGUUUAGUAAAUGGUCUGUCUUUUCUGAGUGCACUCUUUGGUUAAGUUAGUUUUAGCAAGCUUGCAUUUUUGGAUUGUUGGCGCGCUUUAAAGUUGGAGCUCGUGCAGGACAACAGUACCUCCGCGCGGGGAAUAGAAACAGCUCCUACCACAAGGGGGAAUCCUCCUCUGUCUUCUCCGUCCGCAGCAGCGAUGAGCAGCGAUGAACAGCAGCCUCCCUAACCAGCGAGAAAAGUCGUCCCUCUGUCCUUGACACACGAAGCACGACGACCGCUGAAGCCCCUCCGCUCCGGCAGCCUCCUCCGACGUCCGUGCGGGAAAAGGAAUCCGAGGAAUGCGGUGACAUCUAUCCCACUAGCAGCGACGGCUAAGAUAGCUCCGCUAGCUCACUACGCAGCAAAACUGGACACGCUCUGUCGACAACUCACAGUCCGUCACUCUAAAUUAAGAGCCAACUGGCAAACAGAAAAAAUAUAAACACGGAUAGUCUGUGUCCUCACUCGCUUGUCUGUCUCUCCACUUUACGCCAUUCCUCUCCCCUCUCUCCUUCGUCUCUCGUUUCACUCAAUUAUUUCUGCCCGCGUUCUGGGUUAAGUCCCGCCCCUUCCCUUAAUCCGAUAGGUUACCAAAAUUAUCUGGACUUGACACUGAUUGCCAUCUGACUAACCAAUUGGCAACACCGAACAGGACCUGACAAGUUCAAGGUCUACCCAAACCCGUGGGAUAUUUCAACACUUAACCAAAAUACACAUUUCUUCUUAUUUAUGGCAAAAAUUAACCCAAACAAUCCAUAACUUAGCAGAACUACAGUAUAAAGACUGAACUGAAUUAACAUAUUUAAGAACACAAUAUGUAAACAAAAAAUUAGCAGGGCACUACACAUAUUUCUGUCACAUCGGAACAAAUCGGUUUGUAUAUCUGUGAUCUCACUGCUUCCUCCUUGAUGCUCGCUGUUUAAAAGCUGCCGCCCUCACAGAGAAACCAACAGUGAAGAGCAGGAUCACUUGGUUUCAAGUUCUUUCACCUCUCAAGAUGUCGGCAGACGUUCAAGCACCAGAGUCGAGUCUGAGCGUGAGAUACAGCAGAGGAGAAGAAGAGGAGCUCCAGGUGGAGAUCUACGCGAGUGACGACAUGUUGAACAGCAGACAUACUGGUCUCUGGUCCCAUAAAGUCAGAGCUCUCGGUGAAGCCAGCUGCCUCCCGGCGGUCCACAGAAGCCGUUUCACCGCUGCCGGCGUCGUGGGAGCGCUGUGUCUGCUGAUAAUGGCGGGGAUCUUCACGCGCUGUGAAAAGCUUUUGUUUCGUUCUUCUUCCUCGUGUUGUUCUCUGACAGUUUGGUGACCGUGUGAUGCUCUAUGCUUGCCUGUGUGGUGUCUCAUGUGGUUGAAGCACGAUUACCAGAAAAGCAGCCUGAGUGAUCCCUCCACUGUUACAGCUGCUGAACACCGCAGGAAAAGCUUCUCCAGCGGUUCACUUGGCUUACUUUCAUUAAAUCACGUCCAAAUGACGCCAGGCUGCGACCAAAUAACCACACUCACACUGUUACACAUGUCAGAGUGGAGUGAUUUCUUUUAACAGAUGAGGUAUUGACAUGUUUUAUACUUAAAUUGAGACAUAAUUAUCAUUCAAAAAGCAGCGUUGGGUUGAAGCGAUCACAUGAGCGGCUCUACCAACAUGUUUUUCUAUCAUACCUGUUAAAACACACACCGUCUGUCUCUGGCUGCAGGUCUGAAUUCAUGUCAGACAGCAACAUGACUUCCUGGAAAUGUCUCUCUACAUUUUUUUUAGCUGUUUUUCAUCAGCUUUUCCUUUUGUUUCUGCUCUCACCAGAUGUUUUAGCUACGCUGGAUAAGCAAACCUUGAUGACAGAAAGAGACAAGCUCAACAGAGAUCUGGACCAGGCACAAACCAGAAUCUUCAGCCUCACCACAGAGACACAGAGGCUACAGACCAGGUUAAAGCACCUGCACAUACUUUACACCCGGCUGCAGGGUGAAUGGAGCAGGCUGAGCUUGAAGGAACAGGCCAUUCCCACCCCGCUGUUCUUUGCAGUGCCCGAGCCCUGCGGCACAUGCUGCGACUGAAGCCGUCGGCGCUCUGCUCACGCUCACGCUGCUCGCCUGCAGCGACGCCGUCACCAGCCGCCACCGCCGCCACUGCUGACGUACAGAAUCUCAAAAGGCGAACACCUGAGUCUAUAGCCCUGUCCUCUGAGGGGAAAGCCAAUCAAUCAAAUAAAAAUCCAUUUCACAUGAGCUGGCAGACUGUAAUGACAUAAAGCUUCAAUGCAUUUUGAUUUCAGCAAUAUACAACUGGCUUGCACAACGUCUGUCAACAGAACAACAAAUCUCGUUGUUCUUACUCAGCAAAUGAGCUCAACUGAAGAGACAAACACUCAGCAAAGCCACUUUAAACAUGCAGGAUAAAAACAUGCUGUCAGAGGAGGCUGUUUCAGAGCCGCUGCAGGGUUUAAUCCUCUGAUAUCGAACAAAAUCUUCAUUUGCUACAGAGAGUGAUUUUUUU